GGUGAACGCUAGCGGCAGGCCUAAUACAUGCAAGUCGAACGGGAUUGAGGAGCUUGCUCCUCAUGAGAGUGGCGCACGGGUGCGUAACACGUAUGUAACCUACCUUAAUCAGGGGAAUAGCCUCUCGAAAGAGAGAUUAAGACCGGAUAAAAUCACACUAUGGCAUCAUAGAAUGAUCAAAUAUUUAUAGGAUUAAGAUGGGCAUGCGGAACAUUAGCUAGUUGGUAAGGUAACGGCUUACCAAGGCUACGAUGUUUAGGGGAUCUGAGAGGAUGCCCCCCCAACUGGUUACGGAGACACGGACCAGACUCAUACGGGAGGCAGCAGUAAGGAAUAUUGGUCAAUGGGCGGAAGCCUGAACCAGCCAUGCCGCGUGCAGGAAGACGGCCCUACGGGUUGUAAACUGCUUUUGUACCGGAAUAAACCUACUUACGUGUAAGUAGCUGAAUGUACGGUAAGAAUAAGGAUCGGCUAACUCCGUGCCAGCAGCCGCCGUAACAC
rnacentral:rRNA from 1 species